GGAACAGGCCUUUCAGGCAUCCUCUCCCAAACUUUUCAGGCCCGCUCGGCAACGAGCGGGCCAUUUUUUUGACUUGA
rnacentral:sRNA from 1 species